rnacentral:rRNA from 1 species
UCCAGACUCCUACGGGAGGCAGCAGUGGGGAAUAUUGGGCAAUGGACGCAAGUCUGACCCAGCAACGCCGCGUGAAGGAAGAAGGCUUUCGGGUUGUAAACUUCUUUUAAGGGGGAAGAGCAGGAGACGGUACCCCUUGAAUAAGCCACGGCUAACUACGUGCCAGCAGCCGCGGUAAUACGUAGGUGGCAAGCGUUGUCCGGAUUUACUGGGUGUAAAGGGCGCGUAGGUGGGCGCUUAAGUCAGGUGUGAAAACUCCGGGCUCAACCUGGAGACUGCACUUGAAACUGGGUGUCUUGAGGGCAGGAGAGGAAAGUGGAAUUCCUAGUGUAGCGGUGAAAUGCGUAGAUAUUAGGAGGAACACCAGUGGCGAAGGCGACUUUCUGGACUGUACCUGACGCUGAGGCGCGAAAGCGUGGGUAGCGAACGGGAUUAGAUACCCCGGUAGC